UACGGAGGGUGCAAGCGUUAUCCGGAUUUACUGGGUUUAAAGGGUGUGUAGGCGGCCUUCUAAGUCGGACGUGAAAUCCCUCGGCUUAACCGAGGAACUGCGUCCGAUACUGAAAGGCUUGAAUCCGGGAGAGGGAUGUGGAAUUCCAGGUGUAGCGGUGAAAUGCGUAGAUAUCUGGAGGAACACCGGUGGCGAAGGCGGCAUCCUGGACCAACACUGACGCUGAGGAGCGAAAGCCAGGGGAGCAAACGGG
rnacentral:rRNA from 1 species